UGUUCUUGCAGUGUUCAUCGGGCAGCAGCACCUGCCUGCCCCUGCCCACCUGGUGGCUCUGGGACGCGAAGGGCCCCCCGGGAUCUGGUUGGGGUGUCCUCCCCCCAUCCUUCGGAAAUGAGACGAAGGGGGACGUGCUGAGGAUGACAGCAUUUUGUUGGGCAGUGCGCUGAGUUGCGUGUGCUUUUAUCAUUUCUUUUUUGGUGGUGGACUGGGGAGGGCGGGGCAGCGAGCCGUCCCUGUGCGGAUUGGAGCCCAGGAGGACGCGGGGGCUCCUGCUUUGUGAGCAGUGAGGGGGCUGUAGAGCGCAGCCAGCACAUGUAUGGACCAAGGAGGGGCAGCCUCGGGACGGGAUGUGUGCAGGGCAGUAGUGCUGGGCCAGCCGGGACACCCCGCCUUUCCCGAGAAGCUGGAACUAGUUGGGGGCGCUGCAUUUUAAAGCAGGAACCUCUGAGGCCCACUGAGCUGGCCGUUUUGCAAACCCGCUCAGGGUGGAGCAAGGUCUUUCCCCGCGCCUGUGACCCUCGAGCCUGCUUUCUCUUUGCCGGCUGUGCUUCUCCCCGUCUGACCCCCUGGGUCUCCACCAUACUCAGCAGGCCCCCCCACCACAGGUAUUUUGGCUGAGCCAGGGUUAUUUUAGGUGGAGUUGGGGGUCCCAGGGGGUUGUUGGGCAGAAAUACCAAUGGGUGACAUGCCCCCCACCCCCGCUUAAGACCAUUCCUCAAGAAUGUCACAGGAUCCCACAGCAUCUUCCUCUCUGGCUGAGGCUGGGCAGGUGGCCCGCCUGUGGUCCACCCCGGGUCUCGUCUGCCUCCCAGGGCAGCAGAGGAAGUUCACCCUUGAAGUAUUUCUAAGUUUCCCCUGCAGGUGCCGACUCACAAGCUCUUGUCACUGAGAAGACGGCCAUGUGUGGGACCCUGGCUGCCACCAUCCCACUCUCGGGUCCCUGCGGUCCCAGUUGUGCCUCCAGCCCGGCUCCCAGAGACAGUUUUGAAGGGGGCUGAGUUUGCUCAGAAGCCUCAGCAUCCUCUGCCCAGGGAACAGGACGGCUCCAAGAUUCUCACAGCCCACAGUGGACAGAGGUCAAAGAACACAUUCCAUCCUUUUUUUUUUUUUUGUCCUUGCCAGAUAUUUAUUUCUUGGCUAUUUGUUGUUUAGGAAAAGGAUGAUUAGCUAAGCAUUUGCCAACUUCCCAUCGGCUCCCCGCCUCCAGCCCUGCCCUUCCGUCCCCACAUACCUCCUUGUUCUGCUGUUCAUGCUUUACCCCCAAACAUUUGCCCCCCCAAAGUCCAUUUUUUCAAAAGAAGAUAAUGUAUAACAAAUAAAACGGAUUCCUUUUUGCCCUUCAAUUAUAAAAGAACUGUCUUCCACUGAAGAGCAUUUAAAAAAUACAGAAGGAUGAAAAGGGCUAGAGAAGCCCUUACCUAGAGAUCACGUCUGCUCAUCAAAUUGAUCCUACCAAACAUUUUUUUUUUUCUUUGCACGUACACCCCCACCCAGUUAGCAGGAUUGGGGCCUCUAAAUGGCCUCGUAACCCCUUUGAGGGAUGGCCGUGGGCUCUCAGGAGCCAGAAGGUCUCUCAUUUUCUUUUUGCCAAGUGGGCUGGGUGGUGGCUGAAGCUCACCUCCAGCCAGGAAGCUUGUUGGGGCAGCACUUGGGUCUCUCUCUAAACCUAGACUGAUAAAUUGCCAGGGAAGAUGCUAGAAAUGCAGACUCUGUCCUGAUUUCUCAGUGGGCUGCUGUACUGCUUCUCGACUCUGAAACACACAGAAGAAGAAGCAUUAAAAAACAUUAAAAAACAUUUCAGUACCAACCCCCCAGCCCAAGACCAACUGAAUCUGAAUUGCUGGCCUUGGUAUCCUGGUGUUUCUUCUUUCUUUUUUUUUUAUUUUUAGGGCCGCACCCACAGCAUACAGAGGGUCCCAGGCUAGGGUUGAAUCAGAGCUACAGCUGCCGGCCUGUGCCACAGCCACAACAACUCUGGGUCUGAGCCCCGUCUGCAACCUACACCACAGCUCACGGCAACGCCGGAUCCUUAACCCACUGAGUGAGGCCAGGGAUUGAACCCAUAUCCUCAUGGAUACUGGUCGGGUUCAUUUCUGCUGCACCACAACGGGAACUCCUCUUGGUUUUUCUUCUGUUCCUCAGGUGAUUCUGUUAAGUGGCCAGAGAGCUGGCCGGCUCCACGCCCACAGGUCAGGCUCUGCCUUCAGAGCCUGAUGGAGGAGAUGUGACCAUUUGCAGUUGGCAGACUUUCCCUUCCACUGUCUUCUCUGUUGCUCAGAGUCAGCGCUGGAUCCUUAUUUACAGACAGAGAACCGGCGCUAAGGAGAUCAAGAACUUACUUACUGGAGGAUACAGCCUGGAGGCGGCAGUGCUGGGGUUCAGAUCUGAAGCUUCUGAUUUCCAAGGCCAGUGCUCUUUCAGCAAUAAUUGCUGUUUAUAAUUAGCAUAUAUAGUUAUACCAAGAUGUGGUCACCACGGUGUGCUGAGGGUGCUGGAUGCCACUGUCUCAUGGAGGAGGUAACUGCCCACACCCCCCCCCAGGUGGCGGGGGCGCUUGGGUGAUCAGGCCUUAGAUUCCCUGAUGCUGGGUGUGUCCCUGGCCAGCCUGGACCUCCAGCCUGUCCCCAUCAGCCUCUGUGCUGCCAAGGAUCCCAGCUCAGGGCAGGGCAGGGCUUAUCCCUGUUUUCAGGACAUGCAAGAGGCAUGGCCCAGGUCACAUAGCUGCUGGGUGGCAUAGGCCCACUGGUCCCCGCUCCUUGCCCGGCAGAGGCGUCUUGGAAGCAGCACAGCCUGUGUGGGGCUUGCUAGCCUGGGCCUUGCCCUGAGCUGGCGGCCCUCAGGGGCAGGAGCGCUGCUGGGGAUGCCUCAGGCUCCCCAAGGCUGUCCCUGCCCCUCCCUCUUUCCUACAGAGCUGACCUCCUGGAGCCUGGCCUGAGGGCCGCCUGUUCAGGGAACUCGCUCCAGGAAGUGGUUGCUGUUCCUGGGCUGAGCUGCAGGGCUGGAGGGUCAGCCUGUCUCAGAUAUGAUAGCGGAAAGGGGAGCUGGGCCCCGAGAAGGCCGCUCUCUCUCCUCAGUAGGGCCCCCACCCUGCCCCAUGACAGCUCUUUGCUGCAGGGAACCUGCUCUUGGCAAUGACAUCCAUGUAACCCGUUUCCCAGAAGACAGGACAGUGAGGCUGGCAGACUCAGCCAGUACCUUAGUGGGAAAUGGGGCAGGAGCCCUCGCUCCAGCUUCUCUUGGGAAUCUGAGUGGGGAGGUGGCCCGAAGAUGCCUUGCUUACCUGGAUCAGAAAUAACCUCAACUCAGAGUUCCGUGGUGGCUUGGUGUAUUAAGGAUCCAGCGUUCUCCCUGAUGUGGCUUGUGCUCCGUCUCUGGCCUGGGAAUUUUUGCAGGCUGUGGCUGUGGCUGUGGCUGUGGCAGAGAGAGAGAGAGAGAGGAAGGAAGGAUGGGCCUCAGCUCAACUAGAAGCCUGGAGCACUCAGGCUGAGGAUAGAGUUUUGAGCCCCUGGAGGUGAUGGGAGUGUGCCCAGGAGCCUGAUCGGGGCGGCCACGUAGCUGGGGCCCCGGGGAGAGCCCCUUCCCCUCUGAGCCUUGUUGCCUCGUUUCUUUAAUGGACAUAACGGUGCCCUGUAGGAGUAUGUGUACUUCCGAGGCCUAUUCUGCACAGACAGAAGUUGUGGCAUCCUCUUCCUCCCCUUCCACGGGGACACUCGGGGACGAGGCUGGCGUGGAGAGCGUGCUAGUUGCACCGCAUGUUCAGGAGCCAGUGGAGGUCUCCAGGUAUCGGAUGGUCUGCUGUCUGCGGGUCUCUCCAAGGAUGACUUUUCCUCUGGCCUCCUCUCUGGCCCUCCCUCCCCAGCCAGGCCCUGCUGGGAUGGAGGUUCUGGGCUGCAAAGCCGCCCUCCCUGCCCCCUGGCCCUUCAUGCCUCUCUCGUCUGGCCCCCUGAGGCCUCUUUCCCCUCCUUACAAGUCAGGACUCCGUCAGCUCCUAGGCGUUCCCUCUGGGACUGGGCCAGAGCUCCUCCCUCCCCCGACAGCCUCCUUGGGGUGCAGACGGACGGCCCAGCAGAGGCAGGAAGGGCUUUCUGUUUGCCUUGGCUGCUGGAGAAGAGAUUUGUACUCACUUUCUGUUUUGACUGUUGUAUCUUAACACGCAGAGCCGGCACUGAUGCAGAAAAGCAGCCUUGGGUCUUGAAUCUCCAUCUGGCCACAGCGGAGAUGUCUGGAGGUAAGACUGGGUGAUAACGCUGCCCUCUGGGUUCGUGGAGAAAUGUGAUGACCACCUGUUGUUGGCUUUCCCACCCUGAGGUCCACAGCCCUUUCUUCUGCUUUUACUUCAGGGGAUCACCUCUCCAGACCCCAUAAUCCCCUAGGGUUCAGAUGGGGCCAACCCCAUCUCUGGCUUUAUUUUUUUGCUUUUUAGGGCCACACCACAGCAUGUGGAGGUUCCCAGGCUAGGGGUCCAAUCGGAGUUACAACUGCCGGCCUACGCCACAGCCACAGCAACACAGGAUCCGAGCUGUGUCUGUGACCCUAUACCACAGCUCAUUGCAACACCAGAUCCUUAACCCACUGAGUGAGGCCAGGGAUAAAACCUUCAACCUUAUGGUUACUAGUUGGAUUCGUUUCUGCUGAGCCACUAUGGGAACUCCUCCCCUGGCUUUAGUGGCAGGCCUGUGUGCCAGGCAGGAUAAUGAGACUCUCCCUUGGGACUUUUGCAGCAACUAAGGGAAAAGAGGCAUUCCCUUGUCAUGGGAGUUGCCAGGUUGAUGGAACUGCUGGUGGCCAACUCCUGUUUUCCACUUGAGGACAAAGCCAACAAAGAGGAAAGAGCCAAGAGGUGGAGAAAGUAUGCUGUCCAGACAUCAAUAAACCCCUGGAUCCAGCCAUACCUGAACUUAACCGCACUUUUGGACAAACCUGAUUAUAUGAGCCAAUACUUUUCUUUUUUUCUAAAACCAUUCUGUGGUUUGAGUUUCUGUCAUAGAAAGGGUCCUAAUAAAGCAAUUUUUUUUGUCUCAUUAAAAAAAAAAUCAGCUUUGAGAUAUACUUUAUCUGUAAUAAAGUUCACCCAUUUUAAG
rnacentral:lncRNA from 1 species